GCCGACAGCCUCUGGACCCUCAAGGUUCCCUCCCUCAGCAGCUCUGCUCCACUCCAGAACAGUGAACCCACUCGUGACCAGUCCAGUCCCUUCCUGGAUCUGUUAAAUCUGUGUACCUUUUCAGAACCCACUCGUGACCAGACGAGUUCCCCACAGGACCUGAUCAUAAAACCUGUACAUUCAUCAUUUAAUAAACCUUUGAACUUUU